rnacentral:piRNA from 1 species
UGACUGAAGACUAAGGAUGAGUGACA